AUGGAGUCUCGUUCUUGUCGCCCAGUCUGGAGUGCAAUGGCGUGAUCUCGGCUCACCGCAACCUGUCCUCCUGGGUUCAAGCAAUUCUUCUGCCUCAGCCUCCGAAGUAGCUAGGCUUACAGACACGUGCCACCACACCCUGCCAAUUUUUGUAUUUUUAGUAGACAGGCUGUUAGGCAGGCUGGUCUUGAACUCCUAACCUCAGGUGAUCCGCCCACCUUGGCCUCCCAAAGUGCUGGGAUUACAGGCAUGAGCCACCGCACCCAGCAUGCUGAUUCACUUUCUGCAGUUUCAGUUACCCACAGUCAACCAUGGGCCAGAACAUAGUUACACUGCCACAAGUUGUGGAUGGGAGGGCUGGAUUUCCUGAACCCUUCCCAGCAUUGCUCGAGUUUCUUGGUUCCUCCGCUAGAGAAGAGGAGCCCCAGAGCUCUGUAGGCUCCAGAAAAGUGCCCAAAUCAUAAGCAGACAUCUCAUUGGAUUUACUGAGCACACCCAGGUAUCCACCACCCAAGGGAAGCAACGAAGGUGACCCCACCCAGCAUUUACCCUGUGUCCCUAUCUUGGACAUUGAUUCUGCUCCAGAGGUCACAAUCUCAUGCCGCCAAUUGCCAUAGAUUCGUUUUGCUUGGUCUUAAACUUUAUAUAAAUGGUAAGUUGCAAAAAGUGGAAACUUUCGUUACUGGAUUCUUUUGUUGGCCUUAUGCUUGUAAGAUGCGUCCACAAUGUUAAGAUACAUUUCUUGCAAUAAUUUGUAGAAUUUACAUCUUUACAAUGUUCAACAUUCCCAUUCAGAAUCAUGAUAUAGAUCUUCAUUUAAUCAAAUCUGUGCAUGUGUUAGAAAAUUCAAAGAGUGUAUUUUUAUAGUAUUGUAACUUGGUAAUUUAUGGCUUUAGUUGCUAUUGAGAGUAAAUUUUCCAGCAUAUUUUUAAACUGGUUCUUGCUGAUAAAAUACCCGGUGAUUAAAAUAUAUGUAUAUAGUUGUCGUUUUACAUAUAAAAUAUUUUAAUCAGCUUGUCUUUGAUUACUGGUAAAGUGAGCACAUUUCCAUGUGUUUAUUGGCCACAUUAAUUUUUACCUUUUAAUUGCUGCUACUGCUGCUUCUGCUUCUUCUUCUUGUUCUUCCUAGUUAUUCUUGUUAAUUUUAACAAUUCUUUAUAUUUUAAGGAUAUCUUUGGAAUAUGUUGUGAAAGUAUUUUCCCAGUUUAUCUUUUUUUCUUAACUUGUUGCUAUUUUUUGACGUAUUUUAAAAUAUGUGCAGAGGCAAAUCAAUCAUUUGUUUAUUUUGUGAUACCUUCUUUGCAUUUAUUUUUAGAACACUUUUUAUUAAAUGACUUAUCUUCCCUUCCUUUUUUUGAGGUAAUGUCUCUAUUGUAUACUAUAUAUAUUUGUAUCUAUUUCUGGACUUUAUAUUUUAUUCCAUUGAUAUGGCUAGGUAUAGAAUUGUACAAUUUAAAUUAUUAUAGCUCUAUAAAGCAUUUUGAUUUUUUUCAACGUGAGUCAUUUUUCCUUAUUCUGCUUUUCCAAACAAUUUUGGUUGUUCUCAUUUUUUCUUGCAAAUAAAAUAUAUGUAUCAUUUCACUGAAUUCCAAACAAAUAAAAUCUCUUCAGAUUUUGAAUUGGAAUUGCAUUAAAUGUGUAAAUUAUCUCCAAAAAGUUUACAUCUUCCCAUUAUUUGUCCUCCUAUCCAGGAAAUUAUACAUCUUUUUAUUUGUUCAAAUAUUCUUUUCUGCCCCUUAUUAAAUUUUUAACUUUUCUUUGGGUGCACUUUUCUUGUUAGGUUUAUUUGUAUGAAUUUUAUAUUGUUUUGUUAUUUUAAAUUUAAAUACUCUUUUAAAUGUGUUGUUAGUUGGUUAUUAGUGGUGUGUAGGAAAAGUAUUUCUUAUAUUGCUAUAAUAAUGAUAGUUAAACUUUAUAGAGUGAAACAAGGAAAGACAGUGUAACACAGGUGGUUAGGAGAAAGGGUUUUGGAGUCAGAUUACCUGGAUUCAAAUGCCAGUCCUAUUACUAGGUGUAUGACAUUGGGCCUUGGUGUCCUCAUUUGUACAAUGGGGGUGAUACAAUUCUUGCUUCAUAGGAUGCAUAUAAAGUGAUUAGGUUAUACUCAAGUUUCUUUGGACAGACUAAUCAUAUAACUUACAAGUAAUAAUUUUAUCCUUUUUGAUGUUUUUACUGUUUUUCUGUAUGUCUUAUAAUGGGAAUUUCUAGGAAAAUGUUUACCAACAUUUGUGGUAAUUAACAUCCUCAACUGUUUCCUGAUUUUAACGAGAACAUCUUUAUUAUUUCAUUGUUAACUAUGAUGGUGGGUAUUUGUUAAUUAAUAGGUCUUAUUGGGAAUGAAUGUUGAAUUUUACCACAUGCCUUUUUAGUAUUUAUUGCGAUAAUCAUUUUUCCUUUCUCAAACCUUUCUGUGUGAUACUUUGUAUUAUUAGUUUUCUCACAUUGAUCCAUCAUUGCAUUUUAGUAAUCAAAUAUCCUUGGUAUGAUAUAGUCUUCUUCUAAUAUAUUGCUGGAUUUGAUUUGCUAAAACAUUUUAAAGCUUUUUCUCCAUACUUGUAAGCUAUAUUAGUGUCAGUUGCCUCCUUUGCCCUAGGUUCAUCAGACUUGUUAACAAGAUUACAAGUUUAUAAGUUAAUUUGGAAUUUAUAAGUAGAUUUGGAAAGAUUUACAUAUAUUGCUGUGUUCUGCAAUAAUUUGUUUAGAAUGGGAAUUAACUUUUUGUUGAAGGUUUGAAAAAACUCACCCAUAAACAAACUACACACCCA